rnacentral:rRNA from 1 species
UACGUAGGUGGCGAGCGUUGUCCGGAUUUAUUGGGUUAAAGGGUGCGUAGGCGGCUUUGUAAGUCAGUGGUGAAAUACUCCAGCUUAACUGGAGGGGUGCCAUUGAUACUGCGGAGCUUGAGUACAGAUGAGGUAGGCGGAAUUGACGGUGUAGCGGUGAAAUGCAUAGAUAUCGUCAAGAACACCGAUAGCGAAGGCAGCUUACUGGGCUGUAACUGACGCUGAUGCACGAAAGUGUGGGGAUCAAACAGG